rnacentral:rRNA from 1 species
CGUAGGCGGUUUGAUAAGUCAGAUGUGAAAGUCCAUGGCUCAACUGUGGAAGUGCAUUUGAAACUGUCAGGCUUGAGUAUCGGAGGGGAGUGUGGAAUUCCCGGUGUAGAGGUGAAAUUCGUAGAGAUCGGGAGGAACACCGGUGGCGAAGGCGACACUCUGGAUGAAUACUGAUGCUGAGGCGCGAAAGCGUGGGGAGCAAACA